rnacentral:lncRNA from 1 species
UAAUAUUAGUUAAAUAUAAUUGUAUUAUAAUAGUUAUCAUAGUAAUUAUUAGUGAUCAUAAUAAUACAUUAUAAUAAAUAUAUUGUUGUGAUCAAAAUAGUGUAUCUAAUUGUCAUAAUGUCAAAUUAUUUUAUAGUGAUAUAGUUACUGUAGUGGUUAUUGUUAUUAUAACUGAAUAAUAAUUUACUAAUAUUAUAAUUCAUUCUGUUAAAAAUAUAAAAAUGAUAUGAUAAUUAUUAUACCAUAAUAGAAAAAGUACAU